rnacentral:rRNA from 1 species
CUGCAAGUCGAACGAACCAGCGAUGAGAACUUGUUCUUAUCAAGGUUAGUGGCGCACGGGUGAGUAACACGUGGGGAACCUGCCCUUUAGUGGGGGAUAACAGUCGGAAACGACUGCUAAUACCGCAUAGACAUUUUAACCGCCUGGUUAAAAUGGGAAAGGUGCUACGGCAUCAUUAAAGGAUGGCCCUGCGGUGCAUUAGCUAGUUGGUAAGGUAACGGCUUACCAAGGCGAUGAUGCAUAGCCGACCUGAGAGGGUGAUCGGCCACAUUGGGACUGAGACACGGCCCAAACUCCUACGGGAGGCAGCAGUAGGGAAUCUUCCGCAAUGGACGCAAGUCUGACGGAGCAACGCCGCGUGUGUGAAGAAGGUUUUCGGAUCGUAAAGCACUGUUGUUAGAGAAGAACGGCUACUAUAGGAAAUGAUAGUAGAUUGACGGUAUCUAACCAGAAAGCCACGGCUAACUACGUGCCAGCAGCCGCGGUAAUACGUAGGUGGCAAGCGUUGUCCGGAUUUAUUGGGCGUAAAGGGAGCGCAGGUGGUUUCUUAAGUCUGAUGUGAAAGCCCACGGCUUAACCGUGGAGGGUCAUUGGAAACUGGGAAGCUUGAGUGCAGAAGAGGAAAGCGGAAUUCCAUGUGUAGCGGUGAAAUGCGUAGAUAUAUGGAGGAACACCAGUGGCGAAAGCGGCUUUCUGGUCUGUAACUGACACUGAGGCUCGAAAGCGUGGGGAGCGAACAGGAUUAGAUACCCUGGUAGUCCACGCCGUAAACGAUGAGUGCUAAGUGUUGGAGGGUUUCCACCCUUCAGUGCUGGCGUUAACGCAAUAAGCACUCCGCCUGGGGAGUACGACCGCAAGGUUGAAACUCAAAGGAAUUGACGGGGAC